rnacentral:lncRNA from 1 species
UUUUUUUUUUUUCAAAGUCCUUUCAUUCAUUUCUUCACUUGAAGAAAACUCAAGGGCUACACAAUGGGUGAAGGCAUCCAGACUGUUAGUCAGAGACACUUCAUAAAAUUCAAGGUCUAGUGAAGGAGGCAGGGCAGAAAGAAAAGAGAGGAGGAGACUAAAGACUUCAACCGAUGAAGGACCUUCAACAAGCCAGAGAAAGAGGACAGAGGGGACCAGUUCAAGAGCGGUCUGGGAAAGGCAGCAUGGACCCCCAAAGGUGGAAAGCAGACAACCACUAGGCCCCAGAAGCAAGCUGCUGCCUGACUCUUCCUGGGGAGAUGCGAACAAACCUGUACUCACCUAAAACAGGGCAAAGACCAAAAGAGCGAGGCAUACUUUACAGGAACGUGAGGGGAUUCCUAAGGAUCUGCAUUAGCCAAAGGCCUCGUUCCACAGGGGCUGUUUGACUUCUCCAAAGCUGACUAGAUGGAGCCCUCCCUUCCCCUAGCCUUCUACUUCCUACUUGGUCUAGUCUCUCUAGGCAGCAAGUGCAGCUGGGACAGGGUGUAGGAAGGAGUGGCUGAACAAGUACCCAGGCUGGCACGGAGGCUGCCACGGAAGGCGGUGGUAUGAGAGGGGAUCAACAUGGAGGGGCUAGAGAAAAAGAGGAUAGGUGACUGGGGCCCUGCAGGUCAUAACAAAAGUCUGGAUGUUAGUUCUGAGAACAGGGGAAGCCACCCAAAAGAUUCCUACUGGAAUGCCGUGAUAUAUGAGUCUGUGGAAGACACUUUCUCUGGAGAAUAAAGAU